UUUUUAAAAGCAUUUU
rnacentral:sRNA from 1 species